rnacentral:misc_RNA from 1 species
GCCAUCCUGUCACCAGUUGCUACCUGAUGUCUGUCUCCUCUUCCUUGUCCCUCACCAUCGGCGAUGCCGUGAUCUCCUCGUCCGAUUAAUUUUUUUUUUUUAAUUUUCAGCUGCCUAAUUGUCCAUCGCAAUACCAGAUCUCCUCUCAGUACCAGAUCGCCAGACGAAGAGCAACCCGCCCACUGAACCCUUUUUUUAUCCGGGUUUGUUGAUUGGUUUUUAAUUUCUGAGAAAAUUUGUUGAAGAUGUACACUGCUGUCUGUACAUUCUUUUUUGGUCAUUAAUUGGGUACGAAUGCUGCAGGGUGAAUAUUGAUUCAGAGAAGAUUUGUUGAGGUUUCUUUCAGAUCUGAGAACACCUCUCAGAAACGGUUUGAUAACUCAAAAACCCUAACCGCAGAAUUUUUGGUUGCUGGUAUUGUUUUCUUCAAUAUUUGAGAUGGAGAAGUUGAUUUAUAUUCACGUUUUGAGGUUGGGAGAAUCUUUGUAUGAAUCAGAUGAUGUAGAUAGUGGCUAUAGGGACGCAACAAACGAUUGGUAUUUGUUGAAACAAACCGAUGGUAAUAAUGGUGUUGAAAUCAAUUCUCGAGAGUUUUCGAGGAUAUAAAUCAAGUAAACCACCCAGGUCCUGCACUUGUGGACGCCGAUUGUGCAGUUAUUGGUUCUUCUAUUUACGUCAUCGGUGGCCGCAGUAACCUGACUGACAUAUUUUGGGUGCGCUGUGGUGGUGAUGGGUGCAAGGAGAUACGGUGUCUAGACAUGAGAAAUGCUGGAGAUGGUUGGAAGACUUGUUUUGCUUUGCCAUUCGCUUUCAGUGGAGGUAGAUCUACUUUUGUUGACGGUCGUUGGUUGUAUCUGUUUGCUGGUAACCGCCAUGAUGGGCUUCGCAACCCGGACCCUUGGGGUUUUGCUUUGAAUGUUGUUGACAGCAACAAAGGUGAAGCCGAAGUAAGAAACAUAAUCCAACCGCAUUUAUCUCGUUUUUAUCCAAUUGCUUCAGCAUCUUUGUCCCCAGGUACACUUAUUGCCUAUAUGGUGGAUGAACGCACUUUGUAUCAACUAGAUUGCUCAAAUGGGUCUUGGACUGUCUACCAGAAGGACUUGCCUUAUGGUUCUUAUCCAUUUCUCGGUUGCAUCACACUUUCAGAUGAUCGAAUUCUUUAUAUGUACGAUACUAUACACAUGCGCUUGGAUUCCUAUGACGUUGCAAACAGAAAAGAACUUCCUUCGGUUGAUCUUCCCCGGUCCUUUUGGUUUGGUCAUGGGGAAGAGGUCGAGCUCAUUGUCCUUGCUAAGGACAGGUUCUGCGUUAUAUGGCAUGUUUAUGGUUAUGAUGUCAAUGAAAUGUGCAUUUAUUACACUAGAUUCUCAGUUUCUUCUGAUCUACCUAAGCCCACUGUCACUGUUGAGGAUAGCAGGGCUUUUCCAAUCAGAGGCGUCAAAAUACUCAAUAUUGUAACUCUUGAUCCACAUUCAGAUGCAAUGGCCAAUGACUUGAGCUACAACAGCAGAGUUGAUAAUUGGAAGUUGGUAGAGACAAACAUGGACGAAACUGGCAACUCUAACUUAGCUUAGCUUAGCUUUUGUAUGGGUUGUGGUUAUCUUGCAAACUAACAUGUUUUUUCAUGUUGAUUUUCUGUUUGGCCAAUAACACAUAUUUGAGUUUGAGGUGGUGUGUGGACUUGGCAGUGAUGGUUGCUUUUAAGUAUUGAGUUCCCUUCUGGCUGGAAUUGUACAUGUUCUAUUGUUGCAUUAUUUUAUUUUGGCUUACUUUAAAUCAAAAUUUUUUAUGGACUUUGGGAAGGUGAAUCUUUAUAUAUUAAUGGAGCUGGCAAUUUAGUAGACUAAUUAAAAUGAAAUGGUUUUAUUUAUAGAUCAAGUCCAAGCUUGUGGCAUUUAACUUCUGUGUUAGUCUGACAUUUCUAUUUGGAAAGUUUGUUCCUGUAGCUUCUUGUGAUUUUUAGUAAUGUUGUCUUUUCGGCCUGCUUGCCCAUAUGGUUGAUAUCAGAAUGUUUAAAUGAAACAAAA